rnacentral:lncRNA from 1 species
CUGGCAGCACGAGGGGCUGCAUAUCCACCCUGUGGACUCCUCCUCACCCUGCCACAGUGCCCUCUGGUCUUCUACAGAAGGACGCCACAGACGUGCAUCUCCCCACUGUCCCUUUGACUGUUUGGGACCAUGCUGUCCAAAAUUUAACACACAAUUGAGCUCUUUUCCUGUCUCCUCAAAUUCUGACUCUGCAUCCUAGAUCUGGCCAGCGUUUCUCUCCCCUGCAGGGUACAUCUCCUUUGGGCGUGGCCUCAGGAUCCCCACACAGGAGGACUGACCUUGCCAAAGGCCUGGCAAGUAAGGAUGCUCUGGCUGACUAACGUUCUCUUUUCGGAUUCAAUUGGACAUGGUUCUCCAGUGCUUCUUGGCUCUAAUUACGGCGGAAUGUGCCUGUGAGUUGUCCAACAGCUGCCACAUCCUUGUUAAGACAUUAAUGAGAGAAGAUCUUGUGAGAAUUGAAGGAAAAUAGAAAAAAAAUAUUGCAGUUGCAAGAGAAGAAUGAUGCCUGCUCCGUGGGAAUAGUCAAGCCAUGAAAAACCAGCCACCUCAUUUCUUCCCCAGAAGACCAUAAGCACAUGGCAUCUCACUUUGAGGGGCAAAUUCUGAGUUUGGCACUUUAUUUAUAUUUUAUUAAUGUAAACAAUAACAAAACACGUUCAAUCACAAGCACUCUACUCAGCCAGCUUUAUGUCUACCUCUGAAUCGAGGCACUUCUGAGAUGCUUCUCAGUGUUAGGGAAUGCUGGCCUGGAAGGCUUAGGAGCCAACUGGCAAGCUCAUUAGAGGACCAAGAAUUGCAUCAUAAAACAGUGGGACCAAAUGUGUGGGCAGUUAUUUUAAAACAUUAUAAAAACCCACCACUGUGUAUUUUUCUAUGAAUUGUUGACAAAUGUGCUUAGUAAUAGGAUAAGUGAAGAAAAAUGAAUGAAUUAGUUGAGAUUUACUUACAUUUUAACAUUAAUAAUAAAAUACAUGAUGUUAGAUGAAUAAAAUAAUCAAUAUAGACACCUUUAUAUAGACAUCCUUAUCCCAGAACUCUUUGUAAAGGACAUGUAAUGAUCAUAACCAUAACAGCAGCAGCAACUCAACAACAAGAGUGGCCCCACAGGUUCAUGGAGAACGUGGGCCACACAGACACUAUGCUUGACCCAUGAACGCGAUUGCAUUCAACCUCUCCUUAGGAGAGACUUGGCUACCAGAUCACGGAACUGUUAAAGAUGUAGAGGCCCCCUGGAUGGGGUCAACUGGAUGUGUCAUUUUUCUGUUUAAUUUCUAGGAUGGAGUCCUAAUGCCUUUGAAAUAAGACGUAAUUAUGUGAACAUCAUAUAAGAAAUUUAUACCUAUGAUGACGUCUUACUCUAUGUGUCUAAGACAAAAAAAUUAUGUCUGCUCUUAUUCUUCCUACCACAUAGCUCUGUGUUUAUUGCUUCCUGAAAAUUAAUGUUUUUAUUGAUCACUCUUAAAAAAAAAAAAACAGGGUGAGAGGAAACUACUAAGUUGAUUAAACUGGUAACCAGUUCUGCGAUUUCUUCACCAGCCUGCUUUAUCAUGAUGAUAAGACUUUGGUCUUAUUUUCCAAAUAUCUGUAAUGCCUCAAAAUGAACCAAUGAUGUUUUAACCCAAUAACUCAGCUUUUUUUUUCUUAAAGAAUCUUGCUGAGUCACUUUCCUAAUACCAUUCUCCAGUCAUGGAAGUCAGCCAGCUUUGUAAUACUGUCUUACAGAUGCUCUUCAACUUUUAUUGGUCACGAUUUGUUUCCCUAAGAUUUGUAUGCCUUUCAAAUCUUCAAAGUUAGUGAAGCUUUCUUCAGCCAGGAUUCAUCUGUUUAUAGAGCAGAGUGGGUGGCUUUUGGAAAAUACUUGACAUGUUAUAAUAUUGGGCUGAGGAGUCACACGCCACUAUCCAAGUUGUCAUUGAAUGUGCAUUUCCUCUUGGGAAUGGAGUCCUUAAAACUUUGAGUCCUUUACCAAUAGCAAAAAUUAGCAUCCCUUAACAUUUUCACCUGCCUUAACAUUGUGGCCUCUGUUCUGCAGACUUCAGCUAUUAAGUCAGUUUAUUUUUCCCCGACAUUAUAAGCUACACGCUUCCCACUCACUUCUAUCCUGUCUAGCAAACACACUAGUCUUUUCGGUUACUACUUUAAAUCACAAUGAAAACUAUGGUUGUGUAUUCACAUGCAACUAUGGCGUGUGAGUUGAUCCCAUCCUCUGAGCCCAAUCUGUGUGAAGGAAAAUGUUUCUCAUUAGGAAACCACUUCGUUGUGAUCCUUUGGAACCAUUUCUAGCUUGUACAAAUUAUUCAAAAUAGACAUCUUUCCUUUCCCUGGACUCCACCCCGGCCUUGUCUAGCUUUCUGGUGCUUCCAGAAGUUAAACAAGCAGAUGUUAUAAACAAAAACAAACAAACAAACAAAAAGCAAAACAAACAAAAAAAUAAAAAAUAAAAAACAUGAAAGACAAAAACAAAAAGAAAACCACUACCAUGAAUAAAUUUCAUCUUCUGUGCAUUUCUGUUAAAAUUUAUAAAUUUUAUAUUCUCCAUUAAAUCUGUGAAGAUAAUACCCAACUAUGUAAACACAUUGAUAUUCGUGGAUUUUAAAGAAAAUUCUAACAGUACUGACUACUUAAAGUACAGACUUAAAACUGUAAAAUUAUCCUGACACUUGAGGCUAAAGAACAUCUUAGUAAGUGAUUUGCUGUGUCUGUUAACAUUUUGUGAAAAUUUGUAGAUGUGUACACUAUGUUUGGGUUUGAAGCACUUUCUCACCUCUAACUUUUUUCCUUCUUCACCCCCUUAAUCACAGACACAGGAAUGCAGCUGCCCUGUGUGUGUCUCCUUCAUCCUGCUGGGGACAGGCACGGGCAAGGAGAGCUCAGGGGUAACACACGGGCAUAAUUGGGGUCUGAUGAAAUAGGCUAAUCAUGGAUCCACUAAGCAAAUAUUAAUUUUCAUUGGAAGCCCUGCCAUUUUGUGAACUUAUAAGAAAUAAACAGAAGUAUUGUUAGCCUCAGGAUGUAUCUCUUUUCUUUAAGAAAAAAGAAACCCAUUGAUAAAUGUCUCUGAAAGGCUAACUCUCACCACUUCAUGCUCUUCUAAUGCUUCUGCACUGUCCUAUGUGAGGCUUGAGUGAUGUGGGUGUGCCACUGAAGGGCCGUGGGUAGGAGCGGUGUGUUUUCUGAACACCUGUUACACCUUUAUUACCCAGUUCUAUGAAAACAUGUAUAACAUAGAAGCAAAGCACUCAUGCUAAAGAUCGCUUCUGCUGAUCCUUGCUGCCAAGAUCUCCCUUACGGUCCUCAGCGUCUCUUCCCUUGACCAGGUUCUUCCUGUCUUCUUGGGCUGCUUUCUCUGUAUUAUUUUUCUCUUCUUCUUCCAGCUUAUGGAAACCAUUCCUACCACAAUUUUCUCUUCUAAAUUUGGUUUGAUAAAACCAAAUACUUUUCAUUGUUUCACCUGCAGUGAUCUUUUUCUUAGACUUUUGCAUUUUGCAUUCUUUUAGUUUUAGUAUCUGUACUGGCAUUUCUUAUAUAGAGGUCCUGUUCACACCAUGCCCACAUUCUACAGUGGAUUAUACACUUUGAAUAUCAAGCUCCAGCUAUAUGAGGUAGUUUGGGAUUAUUGAAAGGACACCAAGAGGCAGAAUGGCCAUGUAAGUUAUUGUUCAAGUCAGGAUACUUUUGAGAGUUAAAAAAGGCAAGUUAACAACAUCACACCACGGAUGUAACUGGGACAAUUCCAGCCAAGAACUGAGAUGGUCCUUUCUUUCCUCCUCUCCCACCCCAUUCUCCUCCUUGUCCUCCUUCUUCUUCCUCCUCUUCCCCAUCCUCCUCUACUGCCUGUUCAUAGGGGAAAUAUACGUCUGUCUGUCUGUCUAUCUAUCUAUCUAUCUAUCUUUCUAUCUAUUAUCUAUCCAUCUCCCAAAUGCAAACACUGAAUCACUAGUCAAUAAGUCUCAUUAUAAAUGUUUGAUGCUAGCCCAAUGCUGGGCUCACUUUCUAAACUCCUAGGUAAUUCCACAACAGAAAGAAAUAAGAUUUCAGGUAUUAUUUUAUGUUUCUUAUAAUAUUAUCAGUAUAGGAUACUAGUUAAACUGUGGAGACACAGAGACAAAUGGAGACUAGUCUGAAUAACCUGGAGACAGUCCUCUCUCACAGCAAAGUAAAAUCUGGUUUGGUGGUUCUGCUUUGCAAAGUUAUGACGGGCUCAAGCUCUUCCUACCUUUUUGCCUCACUCUCCUGACCUGUUGUCCUCUCCACAUAGCCCCAGAUGACUCACCAUCAUAUCCACAUUCUAGCCAGUGGGAAGGGGAAAUGGAGUUGGUAAAAGCAUGUUCCUCUUUCUCUUGUGCACUGCAACUCUGCACAGUCCAUCUGUUCUUACCCCAUUGGCCAGAAUGCAGUCACCUUGCUUCUACUGGCUGCAAGGAAGG